AGAACGAACGCUGGCGGCAGGCUUAACACAUGCAAGUCGAGCGCCCCGCAAGGGGAGCGGCGGACGGGUGAGUAACACGUGGGAAUAUGCCCUUUGGUUCGGAACAACUCAGGGAAACUUGAGCUAAUACCGAAUGUGCCGGUAACGGGAAAGAUUUAUCGCCAAGGGAUUAGCCCGCGUCCGAUUAGCUAGUUGGUGAGGUAAUGGCUCACCAAGGCUCCGAUCGGUAGCUGGUUUGAGAGAACGACCAGCCACACUGGGACUGAGACACGGCCCAGACUCCUACGGGAGGCAGCAGUGGGGAAUCUUGGACAAUGGGGGAAACCCUGAUCCAGCCAUGCCGCGUGAGUGAUGAAGGCCUUCGGGUUGUAAAACUCUUUCGACGGGGACGAUAAUGACGGUACCCGUAGAAGAAGCUCCGGCUAACUUCGUGCCAGCAGCCGC
rnacentral:rRNA from 1 species